UCAAAUGGACAACAGAUUUCUGCUGGACUACAGAACUCCAGGAAUCCAUGUUCAUACGUGUGUAACAUAUAGGUUUAUGCUCCCAGGUUGUCUCGGAAGAUUUUCUUGCCUGGAGAGUGAGAGAUUUUCACCAACCAACGUGUACAGGCUGAGCAGCCCCGACUGAGUCAGCAGUAGUGAGUCGGAGCUGGCCGGUUCUACGUCGAUUGCCAAGUGCAGCUAAGGAGUAACUUAGGGACUGGGAGGUCUUCGUCUUUCCUGAUGCUACCGGUUUUCAUGCCUUCUUGAAUUUUGAUUGGGGGGAAAAGUCCUUCUCCCAGGCUUCUUCGCUGCUCUAUACUAUGAGAUGGACUUGGAAACUCGUGGCCCCUGACUCACCGAGCCACCUCCAGCUCCACAGCUUUACCACCCGUGCUUUGACAGCAUGAUCUACCAUCACACAGAGAGGCUGGUGACUCGACGCCCUUCAUCAUCUCUCUGGCCCCACAGAGGGGUUCUUUGAGGUCAUGGAUGGCUUUCUCAACUGAAGGCUUAUUGAAAGUCUGUGUGCUCACGCUUGUUAAGUAACUUCUAGAAACCUUGGCAGAGUAAGUGGAUAAAAGGCUGGACUUACAGUCAGCAGGACUUCGUAGUACACAUACACAGGUCUCAUAAUAUAUGUGACAGUGGGCUUACUUAAAUCACCCAAUUAACUUUUGUAGGCCUGUAUAAAUAUAAUAAAGCAGCUAU